rnacentral:rRNA from 1 species
AAUAGAUACCCGGGUAGUCCAUGCCGUAAACGUUGGGCACUAGGUGUGGGGCUCAUUCCACGAGUUCCGUGCCGCAGCAAACGCAUUAAGUGCCCCGCCUGGGGAGUACGGCCGCAAGGCUAAAACUCAAAGGAUUGACGGGGGCCCGCACAAGCGGCGGAGCAUGCGGAUUAAUUCGAUGCAACGCGAAGAACCUUACCAAGGCUUGACAUGCACGGGAAGCCACCAGAGAUGGGUGGUCUCUUUGGACACUCGUGCACAGGUGGUGCAUGGUUGUCGUCAGCUCGUGUCGUGAGAUGUUGGGUUAAGUCCCGCAACGAGCGCAACCCUCGUCCCAUGUUGCCAGCGGGUUAUGCCGGGGACUCAUGGGAGACUGCCGGGGUCAACUCGGAGGAAGGUGGGGAUGACGUCAAAUCAUCAUGCCCCUUAUGUCUUGGGCUUCACGCAUGCUACAAUGGCCGGUACAAAGGGCUGCGAUGCCGUAAGGUGGAGCGAAUCCCAAAAAGCCGGUCUCAGUUCGGAUUGGGGU